AUUGAACGCUGGCGGCAUGCCUUACACAUGCAAGUCGAACGGCAGCACGGGAGCAAUCCUGGUGGCGAGUGGCGAACGGGUGAGUAAAGUAUCGGAACGUGCCCAGUCGCGGGGGAUAACGUAGCGAAAGUUGCGCUAAUACCGCAUACGAUAUAUGGAUGAAAGCGGGGGAUCGCAAGACCUCGCACGAUUGGAGCGCUCGAUAUCAGAUUAGGUAGUUGGUGGGGUAAAGGCUCACCAAGCCGACGAUCUGUAGCUGGUCUGAGAGGACGACCAGCCACACUGGGACUGAGACACGGCCCAGACUCCUACGGGAGGCAGCAGUGGGGAAUUUUGGACAAUGGGCGCAAGCCUGAUCCAGCCAUGCCGCGUGCAGGAUGAAGGCCUUCGGGUUGUAAACUGCUUUUGUACGGAACGAAAAGGUUUGGCCUAAUACGCUGAACUCAUGACGGUACCGUAAGAAUAAGCACCGGCUAACUACGUGCCAGCCGCCGCAGUAA
rnacentral:rRNA from 1 species